rnacentral:rRNA from 1 species
UACGGAGGGAGCUAGCGUUAUUCGGAAUUACUGGGCGUAAAGCGCACGUAGGCGGCUUUGUAAGUUAGAGGUGAAAGCCUGGAGCUCAACUCCAGAAUUGCCUUUAAGACUGCAUCGCUUGAAUCCAGGAGAGGUGAGUGGAAUUCCGAGUGUAGAGGUGAAAUUCGUAGAUAUUCGGAAGAACACCAGUGGCGAAGGCGGCUCACUGGACUGGUAUUGACGCUGAGGUGGCGAAAGCGUGGG